UUUCCGUAGGUGAACCUGCGGAAGGAUCAUUAUUGUAUAACCGAGGUGCGAGGGCUGUCGCUGACCCGAAAGGUCGUGCACGCCCGAGUGCCCUCACACACAUCCAUCUCACCCCUAUGUGCACCACCGCGUGGGUCCCCCUUUGGCUUGUUCGGAGGGGGGCUUAAGUUUUCACACAAACUUUGUAUGCAGUGUAGAAUGUAUUUUUUGUUUUUGCGAUCACGCAAUCAAUACAACUUUCAACAACGGAUCUCUUGGCUCUC
rnacentral:misc_RNA from 1 species